rnacentral:sRNA from 1 species
CGAGAUUAGGGUUCAGACGCAUCAGAAACCCUGUAGCUUUCUUCUGGAGACGUCGCGGCCAUCGUUCUGGUAUCACAGUAGCAGCAUUUCCCAUCGAUCAUGAGGGCCAAGUGGAAGAAGAAGCGCAUGAGGAGGCUGAAGAGGAAGCGCCGAAAGAUGAGGCAGAGAUCCAAGUAGCCGCCUUUUGCUCCGUCGUCCGCAUCGCCGCCUUCUCAUGGGGUGAGCUAACCCAUGUGAGGUUGUUUUGUAGACUGGAGGUUGCUCGUGAGGGUUUAUUACUCUGAAUUUCGGUUUUAGUAGUUUCGGGAUUCUAACUAUGUGGAUGUUAAUGUUCUUAUGACUGGUUUAACUCUGCUUCUAAUUACAUAAUUAAGUAUCGAUUUGGUUAAAUUGCAAUGGCUUCUACUUGCUUUGAUGUUUUUCGACUUUGAUUUCCUCUGUUAUUUUUUGUUCUAAGUUGAAUGAUUGUGUUGUUAUGAUGCAAUGUGGAUCCCGGGUCGCAUUAGAUGUCAAUGUUUAGAGCUUUUGUAUCCUCUGCUCGACCUGGGAUCGUAUAUGAUGCAUUGUUUUGUGCC